CAGCAGCCGCGGUAAUACCGGCGGCCCGAGUGGCGGUCACUAUUAUUUGGCUUAAAGCGUCCGUAGCCGGGUUGGGAAGUCCUCCGGGAAAUCUGGCCGCUUAACGGUCAGAAUGCCGGAGGAUACUCCCAGCCUAGGGAGCGGGAGAGGCCGAGGGGAUUCCCGGAGUAGGGGGGAAAUCCUAUAAUCCCGGGAGGACCACCUGUGGCGAAGGCGCUCGGCUGGAACGCGUCCGACGGUGAGGGACGAAGGCCAGGGGAGCAAACCGGAUUAGAUACCCGGGUAGUCCUGGCUGUAAACGAUGCGGACUUUGUGUCGGACAAGCUAUGAGCUUGUCCGGUGCCGGAGGGAAACCGUUAAGUCCGCCGCCUGGGGAGUACGGCCGCAAGGCUGAAACUUAAAGGAAUUGGCGGG
rnacentral:rRNA from 1 species